GACGUAGGGCGCAAGCGUUGUCCGGAAUUAUUGGGCGUAAAGAGCUCGUAGGCGGUUUGUCGCGUCUGCUGUGAAAACCUAAGGCUCAACCUUGGGCUUGCAGUGGGUACGGGCAGACUAGAGUGCGGUAGGGGUGACUGGAAUUCCUGGUGUAGCGGUGGAAUGCGCAGAUAUCAGGAGGAACACCGAUGGCGAAGGCAGGUCACUGGGCCGCAACUGACGCUGGAGG
rnacentral:rRNA from 1 species